rnacentral:tRNA from 1 species
GUGAGUGUGGCCGAGUCCAAGCAACAGAUUGUAAAUCUGUAUACGAGUUUACUCCACUUUC